AGUGAAUUCUUUAAUGACCAUGAGCUAGAAGACUUUGAAAAUUGUUGUGAAAUAAUACAAUUUACUUAUUUAUUCUUUUUUAUUUUACUAUCGGAUUAUUACACACUUGAUAAAUAUGUUAAACAAUAUUGUAUUGAAAAUUUUAAACAUUUGUUCAUGUAUAAAAAUUAUGUUUUUAAAAAAUAUAUAAAAUACCAAAACGAGAAGAUUGUUAAAAAUGUUAUUCUAAUGGAUACUUAUCAUGAGAACACAUGUGAUAGUGUUAAAAACAAUGACAAUCAUAGUACUAAACCCAAUUGCUACAAAACUAAAUACUACGUCUUUGAAACAAAAAUAAUAAAGUCAUUUUCAAAUGAAAAUAAAAUCGAAUUUGAAAACAUGACAGUGUGUAUAAAUUUGGAUAAACAAAUGUCUUUUCGUUAUGUUUUAUCUUGUUUAACAAAAAUCAAAUCAUAUGAAUAUAUUAAUAAUAAACUUUUUUUAGAAAUAUUUACUGUAUAUGCUUAUAUAAAUCCUGAAAACUCUACAUCAUUAUAUGAUUGUUGUACUACUGUAUCGUUGUUACCUUCUCUUGUGUUUCCCCCUCCGUUUUAUGAUAAUACUAUACAUAAUACAGAUGUAGAACAUACAAUAGUUAAUAAUAUUAGUACACCACCUGUUUCUGUAAAUAGCAAAAUCGAAAUGUUGUCAACAAAAACAGAUAUAUCAAAUAGCAAAUUUCAUUUUAUAUAUGAAAUCGAAAUGCCUAAUUAUAUUUACAAUGCUGAUUAUACAGAAAUAUAUGUUAUCGAAACUAGUAGGAUACAAGAAAAGUGCAACAAUUUUUAUAUGUCUUUUGAACUAUCACAAAUAAAUAAAAUGGGUGAAAAAAAUGAAAUAAAUAAAAUGGGUGAAAAAAAUGAAAUAAAUAAAAUGGGUGAAAAAAAUGAAAUAAAUAAAAUGGAUGAAAAAAAUGAACUAAAUGAACUAAAUAAUGUAUAUGAUAUGAACAAAGCAAAAAUAAUAACUAACUGUGACAGAGAAGUAAAUAAUGAUAGGGUGAUACAUAUCAUGGAUAAACAAACUGUUACUGAUACAAAUAACGAAAUUAAAUUAUUUAAAAUGACAAGUGAAAAAUAUUCAUUAAACGAUAAAACUUAUUUAAAAAUUUAUAGUAAUAAGAUAGGUAAUUUUUACAUUCACUUGAAUACUAUAAACAACAUACCUUACAUAAACUGGGAGCUUAAAUAUGAUGAAAAUAAUGUCAUUAUAAAAAUACAAAGUAGAA
rnacentral:lncRNA from 1 species